CAGUGGCCCCCGAGGGUACCCCGACACCAGCCCCCCCGUUUUUGCAGGGGGGCUACAGUCGGCGAAGAACGCGACACCAGCCCCCCCUGGCAAUAGAAGCGGGGGAAAGGGGGCCGACAGCCGAAGGGGCUGUCGCAGUGGCAGUCGACACCAGUCCCCUUUUUUGGAAUAUCGAAUCUUGCUGCUACUAUUGUUUGUAGGUUGUGUUAAUUUUUUGCAAUUUGUUUGUAACGUAACGACGUACGUGUAAUGUAACAAACGAACACUAAAUUAAAGUAAAUCAAUAUCUGCAAAAAACGACAUCUCUUGAAAUUCCACAAAACUCAACGACACAAUCAUCACACCAGCGCCACCUGGUAUCCACGGGACAGUAUCACUUCUUGUUCUUAACACAACCUGCCUGGUCUCGGCGAGACGGUCUUGAAGCCAAUAGACUUUUCCAAAAAGAAACUAUAUUUUAUGGUGUGACAACUGGAUUUACCGUUUGAUUCGCGUGAAACGUGCUCCUUGGCUGAAAAUUUAACCUGAUCAGUAUUUCCCCCUGGCAGCCAUGGGGCACUGUGGACUGUUUAUGGUUUGCCCUGCUUUAUCCAAAGUGAUGACAUCUGUUUUAAACUAAAGAGGGAAAAGAAACACUAAUUAUAGAGGUAUCUUAUUCUAUACCUCUUCUAUGUGAUGUAGAAAUACACCUUGGCUUAUCCAGGAUGGAACUAAA